rnacentral:rRNA from 1 species
AGGGCGCACGGUGGAUGCCUUGGUACUAGGAGCCGAAGAAGGACGGAACUAACACCGAUAUGCUUUGGGGAGCUGUAAGUAAGCUAAGAUCCAAAGAUUUCCGAAUGGGGGAACCCAACACCUUUCAUAGGGUGUUACCAAUGAGUGAAUACAUAGCUCAUUAGGAGGUACACGCAGGGAACUGAAACAUCUCAUUACCUGCAGGAAGAGAAAGAAAAAUCGAUUCCCUGAGUAGCGGCGAGCGAAACGGGAGGAGCCCAAACCAACGAGCUUGCUUGUUGGGGUUGUAGGACUAGAACGUGAGAAGAAAUCAAGAUAGCAGAAGUGGUCUGGAAAGGCCCAUCAAAGAAGGUGACAAUCCUGUACGCGACAUCUUGAUGAACUCUACUAGCAUCCUGAGUACGGCGGGACACGAGGAAUCCCGUCGGAAUCCGCCAGGACCAUCUGGCAAGGCUAAAUACUACCUAGUGACCGAUAGUGAACCAGUACCGUGAGGGAAAGGUGAAAAGAACCCCGGGAGGGGAGUGAAAGAGUACCUGAAACCGUGUGCUUACAAGUAGUCAGAGCCCGUUAAUGGGUGAUGGCGUGCCUUUUGUAGAAUGAACCGGCGAGUUACGUUUACAUGCGAGGUUAAGAUGAAGAGUCGGAGCCGUAGCGAAAGCGAGUCUGAAUAGGGCGCAUGUAGUAUGUGGACGUAGACCCGAAACCAAGUGAUCUACCCAUGUCCAGGUUGAAGGUGCGGUAAAACGCACUGGAGGACCGAACCAGGGCACGUUGAAAAGUGCUUGGAUGAGGUGUGGGUAGCGGAGAAAUUCCAAUCGAACUUGGAGAUAGCUGGUUCUCUCCGAAAUAGCUUUAGGGCUAGCCUCGGAAUCAAGAAUCGUGGAGGUAGAGCACUGUUUGGACUAGGGGCCCAUCUCGGGUUACCGAAUUCAGAUAAACUCCGAAUGCCAUGUAUUUAUAUCCGGGAGUCAGACUGCGAGUGAUAAGAUCCGUAGUCGAAAGGGAAACAGCCCAGACCACCAGCUAAGGUCCCAAAAUAUCUGUUAAGUGGAAAAGGAUGUGGGGUUGCACAGACAACUAGGAUGUUGGCUUAGAAGCAGCCAUCAUUCAAAGAGUGCGUAAUAGCUCACUAGUCGAGUGACCCUGCGCCGAAAAUGUAACGGGGCUAAACAGAUUACCGAAGCUGUGGAUUGGACCUUAUGGUCCAGUGGUAGGAGAGCGUUCUAAGGGCAGAGAAGCAUGACCGUAAGGACAUGUGGAGCGCUUAGAAGUGAGAAUGCCGGUAUGAGUAGCGAAAGACGGGUGAGAAUCCCGUCCACCGAAUAACUAAGGUUUCCUGGGGAAGGCUCGUCCUCCCAGGGUUAGUCGGGACCUAAGGCGAGGCCGAUAGGCGUAGUCGAUGGACAACAGGUUGAUAUUCCUGUACUUCUAUAAAUCGUUUGAGCAAUGGAGGGACGCAGGAGGCUAAGAAAAGCGUACGACUGGAAGUGUACGCCCAAGCAGUGAGUCGGCUGAUGAGUCAAAUGCUUAUCACGGAUGCGACAAGCUGUGACGGGGAGGGAAGUUUAGUACCGAAGUUUCUGAUGUCACACUGCCGAGAAAAGCUUCUAGCAAGAUUUAUAGGACCCGUACCGCAAACCGACACAGGUAGUUGAGGAGAGAAUCCUAAGGUGAGCGAGCGAACUCUCGUUAAGGAACUCGGCAAAAUGACCCCGUAACUUCGGGAGAAGGGGUGCUGGUAGCAAUACCAGCCGCAGUGAAUAGGCCCAGGCGACUGUUUAUCAAAAACACAGGUCUCUGCAAAAUCGAAAGAUGACGUAUAGGGGCUGACGCCUGCCCGGUGCUGGAAGGUUAAGAGGAGAGGUUAGCCGCAAGGCGAAGCUUUGAAUUGAAGCCCCAGUAAACGGCGGCCGUAACUAUAACGGUCCUAAGGUAGCGAAAUUCCUUGUCGGGUAAGUUCCGACCCGCACGAAAGGCGUAACGAUCUGGGCACUGUCUCAACGAGAGACUCGGUGAAAUUAUAGUACCUGUGAAGAUGCAGGUUACCCGCGACAGGACGGAAAGACCCCAUGGAGCUUUACUGUAGUUUGAUAUUGAGUGUUUGUGUCACAUGUACAGGAUAGGUAGGAGCUGAAGAAUCCGGGACGCCAGUUUCGGAGGAGGCAACGGUGGGAUACUACCCUUGUGACAUGACCACUCUAACCCGCACCCCU